rfam:Leishmania braziliensis MHOM/BR/75/M2904 complete genome, chromosome 11
CAGUACGACCAUGUUUUGAUGAAAACACCGUGUCCCGUCUGGCUUGUGAAGUUAGGCGCCCACAGGGUUAGUCAGUCCUGAGAUCAGCGAUGGCUCAGGAACACUGGGUGCCGUGCCCC